UACGUAGGGGGCGAGCGUUGUCCGGAUUUACUGGGCGUAAAGCGCGCGUAGGCGGUUACUCAAGUCGGAUGUGAAAGCCCUCGGCUUAACUGAGGAAGUGCACCCGAAACUGAGUAGCUAGAGUACUAAAGAGGGUCGCGGAAUUCCCGGUGUAGAGGUGAAAUUCGUAGAUAUCGGGAGGAACACCGGUGGCGAAGGCGGCGACCUGGGUAGAUACUGACGCUGAGGCGCGAAAGCGUGGGGAGCAAACAGG
rnacentral:rRNA from 1 species